rnacentral:rRNA from 1 species
UUAAAAGCUCGUAGUUGGAUUUCUGUCGAGGACGACCGGUCCGUACUUUGUGCGUGUAUCUGGUUCGGCCUUGGCAUCCUCUCGGGGAACGUCUCUGUGUUUAAUUACAUGGGGCGGUAUUCGGGACUUUUACUUUGAGGAAAUUAGAGUGUUCACGGCAGGCUUUCGCCUUGAAUACAUUAGCAUGGAAUAAUAAUAUAGGACCUUGGUACUAUUUUGUUGGUUUCUAGAACUAAGGUAAUGAUUAAUAGGGAUAAUUGGGGGCAUUCGUAUUAACGCGUCAGAGGUGGAAUUCUUGGAUUGCGUUACGACGAACUACUGCGAAAGCAUUUGCCAAGGAUGUUUUCAUUGAUCAAGAACGAAAGUUAGGGGAUCGAAGAUGAUUAGAUACCGUCGUAGUCUUAACCAUAAACUAUGCCAACUAGAGAUUGGUGGUCGUUCUAUUUAUGACUCCAUCAGCACCUUAUGAGAAAUCAAAGUCUUUGGGUUCCGGGGGGAGUAUGGUCGCAAGGCUGAAACUUAAAGGAAUUGACGGAAGGGCACCACCAGGAGUGGAGCCUGCGGCUUAAUUUGACUCAACACGGGAAAACUUACCAGGUCCAGACAUAGUAAGGAUUGACAGAUUGAUAGCUC